ACCAAUCCUGACGCUCUUUGCUGGCCUCUGGCCAAUCGCUUCGCUUUGUCUCCGCCCCGUCUCUCCGUCCCAGCCAGCAACUUCCAAAAGAGGCGUGCUCCGUCUAGAAGGAUUGAUGUCGCCAACAGCCAGUUGAGACUCGGAGAGCUGAAGAGAUUGAGGUCUCAAGGCGCCCGUUAUGCAAAAUCGCUCCUUCUCCUUUGGUCACGCGGCCUUUGGCAGUUUCUCGACUGACUUGCGAGCUCGAGCGCCUUCUGCUUGCCUCCAACAGCGCCCGCAAGAUUCGAAGAGCGACUCGUAACUUUCGUCUUUCUCAAAAGUGGUUGGGUGGUGAAAGGAAGGGUGAGGGAAGAGAGAUGGAUCAUAGGUCUAGGAGAGGAGAAAGGGGCAGAUGACUGAGGGAGAACUAAUAUUUGAAAGAAAAGCACUAUUUGGGGAGGAGAUAGUGUAAGCAGAGCUGCAACACUGUAUGUCAGGGUCACAUAUCAGGCCUGGCGGCUACGUGAACUAGUUAUGAAAGACUACCUUUGGGCAUGGCCAGAGUGCCUUUAUCCUUCUUCCCCAGCCGCUAAACGUUAUCGUUAUCUGUCACUUGAAAAAAGACCCUCUUUUCAUGUGCUGGUUGAGGCUGGUGGGAGUAGUAGUCCAAAACAUCGGGAGGGCACCAGGUUGGCAAAGACUGUAAUAUACCGUGACUUAAUAAAGGUUUUUCCUUAUUAUUAUUUCCAAAAUACAGAAACUAUGCAAAGUGUGGAGAAAAUGGAUAGAGACUUUUUUUUCUUCUGCCCCUCAGAUUAUUAGAUAACUCAAGGCCAUCCAGUGACAUGUGAUGGAUAGACAAAAAUAAGGAGACCAACCAAGCUUCAGUGCAGAAGUCAAUGCAGGAACUCAUAGCUUAUAGCAAGACUACCAACAGCUGUUCUAGUAGAAUGCAAUGCAGGAAGCUAAUGGGCUCUCUCAACAACAAAUGGGAGAGGGAAGGCACCAGACAUCCGGUGGCAUAUCUAAGUCGUAAGCUGACAUCACGGGAGAAGAACUAUUCAUCAGUACAGAAGGAAUGCCUAGCAGUCGUGUGGGGGCUGAGCAAGUUGCGCCCAUACGUGUGGGGAUGAAGAUUCACAGUUGUAACGGAUCAUCGCGCAUUGCUGUGGUUAGAGACAAUGAGGAACAAUAACACCACGUUGCAGAGGUGGUCCUGGGCAUUACAGGAAUACCAGGUGGCCUUCGUUUUUAUAAAAGGUCUCUUCUGCAUCCUUUCCAAUCUGUCAACAUCCUACUAAUAACUGAGCUGGGCAGAGCUGCGGUAUUUCUUCCCAAACCUUGGAUGCGAGGCUUCUGCUAAUGCAUUAAAAACACACACAAAAACCCCAACAACCCGAAAUUAAACAACAAACGAGAGAAGGACCAUAAUGGUGGAAUGCUGCAACGAACAGAGACAUCUGAAAGCCAAAGAAGAUUCCCAGCUUCUCCUGUUCUCUCUUCCGCAGUGGUUGCCUAAGCAGCGGCAGCUUCAGUUCACAUGCUGCUCAUGACAUCACUGGCUAUAUCGGUUUGCAACAGUUCAACAGAGCAGCAACAGACUAAGGCACCAUCUCUCUCACAAACCCAAAAUGUGGUGAGAAAGUAUUCAGGGGAAAUGAAUUCUUCCUCUGAGAAACUUGUCAGGGAGACAGAAAGUGAUCUUCACACGAGUUAUUUAUCAACAGUGCUGGCUUGCGCUCUCUUCCUGCUUCUGCAACUCGUCCUCCAUUCCCAUCCACCCACUUAUGCAAGAAGACAAUUUUUUAUUUAAAAAAUGGACUUCUGCCAUGGUAUUUGCACAAUUCCCUAAGCAUUAAGGCUUCGGUUGGACAAAUGCUCUAAGACAUCACUGGAGAGAUUUCCCAGGCUUGCAUUGCCCCAAAAGACUAAAAAAUAAAUAAAAUAAAUACUGGUUAGAGGCCAACUAACAACCUUUUGAGCAAAUGAAGCCACGAGUAAUUCUGCAAAAAAAGGAGGGAGGGAUUCAAUUGCUUCAAGAUGAAUGCAGUCAGUUCCCAAACUGCUGAUAGCUAAGCUCCACCUGUCUCUGGAUUAAAAGGGACAGUUAUUUCAUUUUUGCAGACAAAAAAGGUUUACCUUUAGGCAUAGAUGGCAUCAGAGGGAAUCUGCUGAGGCUCACACCUCAACAGGGCCCCAAGUGCAGACCCCUGGAGAGCUCUGGCUUCACUCCUCAACCUUGCUGUUACUCCCCGAUUACCUGCCCUCUCCACAAGCAUCAUAGCUCAGUGGCAGAACAUCUGCUUUGCAUGCAGAAGGUGACAAUUCAAUUUCCAGUAAGGGCUGGGAAUGAUCCAGUCUGAAAACUUAGAAAGCUGCUGCUAGUCAUUGUUUCGGCAAUACAGAGCUAGAUGGGCUAAUGGUCUGGCUCAAUUUAAGACCAUUUUCUAUGUUCCUAAACAUGCAAACAGCAUCCUUCACCUCCCUCGCACUCUGGGCAGACGGGGCCAAGAAAAAUGAGCACGUGAUGACAGUAGUGAGGAGGGGGACCCGUUUAGGGCAUCUUGACCAAAGCCUCCACCCUGUCCGUGUCCCCUCUGGAACCAACAGCAUUUUUAGGCAUGUCAAAGAGUGAGGACUGCCUGCCCUUGGAGGGACCUGUGCUUUGGCGCAAGGCCCUAUUCAGGGCCAGCCUCCUCUGACGGGAGAAAAGUCUGCUGCACCUUUUGCACUGAGAGUAACUGAAUGAUCCAACCACAUGCAAUGACCCCAUUUCACAAUCACCAUUUUUAUUAUUUACUUUACAUUUGUAUCCCACCUUUCCACACAAACAGUGAUCAAGGCCGCAUUUCUGCUAACUGUGAGAUAACUCACUAUUUAAUAAGCAAACCGCAGCUCAUGGAUUGUCAAAGGAAAGGUCAUCUUUUCAUCUCUCUCGUCAAUUGAAGACUCUUGAAAUCUAAAUUCAAGGUCCUGAGAACCAGGAUUUAUUACUGGAGUUUUUUGCGUGUUUUUUAACUGAGUUCUCACAAGUAAUUUGUGUAGGUUCCUAGGUUGCUGGAAUAUAGUGAAGGCUGUAAGGUAGUGAUGGGCACAGGCUUGGAUAACUUUGAAAGGGGAUUAAAGAAAUGUAUGGAGAAGUCUAUCAAUGACUGAGUCAAGGGGACUGCGGAACCUCCAUGUUCAGAGGCAGUAUAUCACUGAAUGCCAGUUGCUACACAAGUAGGCAACUAUAGGAGACUUGCUUUCAUGCCCUCUUUAAGAGUUACCUGGAGGCACCUGGUAAGCCACUGUAGGGUAAAUGAUUCCAGAUUAGAUGGACCUUUAUUCUGAUCCGGCAAGGGAAAGGACCAUAGCCCAGUGGUAGAGUAUCUGCUUUGCAUGCAGAAGGACCCAGGUUCAAUCCCUGGUGUCUCCAGGUAGGGCUGGGAGAGACCCGUGCUUGAAACGCUGAACAGCCUCUGCUCUUCAGAUAAUACUGAAGCGAUAGAUAACACUGAGCUGGAUGGACUCACUGUGAGGCAGCUUCCUGUGUUCCUAGCCCAGCAUCACACUCACCUUGCCAAAGGCAUUUUAAAGUGUUGAGAAUUGGCUACCAAACUGAGGGAUCAGCCGCUACAAAUGCUGCGACAAAGACAUAUGCCAGCACAACCUGAAACCUACAUAGCACCAAGAACAGCUAACCCAAUUAACAGGGCAAACUGAUGCAUGCAUAUCUACUGGGUCUGCAAUCCUGUUAGACAUGGGCAUAGGAACCACAGAACUGAAUGGGAUGCACCCUGAAAGGAUUGCACUGCAAGUCUGCUAUCUUCUCCUACAAUACACUCAAGAUGGAGGAUAGUGGAGUGCGGCUAAAUGCAGAUUUUUAAAUGCAGAAUUUUCAAACCAGCUUUUCUCUCUCGAUCCUGCCUGCUAUAGUUAACAUCCAGCCUGACAAAGAGUUCUGGAGAAUUCAAGAGCUGAUCCUUUGUUUUGUCACAUGGAUGGUCCGAUAAAAAAUAAUGAUUAAAAUGUUUUUAUUUUCUUUUUAAUUGUAGGGGGGGUUAUUACAGAAGCGUUUGCCACCCUGGGUUGAGAGGAAGGACAGGAAAUAGAAAUUUAAUAAAUAAAUAAAUAAAAA